rnacentral:misc_RNA from 1 species
UCAUGGUUGCUUGUGUACAAGCAAAAAGAGGACCUUCUUGUUAAGCCAAAGGCAGCAGCACCACCAGGCGAAUCUCCGCUGCUAUUAUGGAACCGUCUCCGUCGAGCACUUUCAACACCAGGUAACAUACCAGCCAUUGAUCGAGAAAACCACAAAACCUUUCUCUCUCUCUCUCUCUCCCUAUAGAGGCUGCCUGAAAUAUAAGGUCUUUAAGAAGCACAGACCAAUGAUAUGAAAGAAAAAUUGUAUUCUUCUUUAUAAAGAACUGCCAAGAAAUCACG